CGGCGAUGUCCGAAUGGGGAAACCCAGUGCAAUUCGUUGCACUAUCGUUAACUGAAUACAUAGGUUAACGAGGCGAACCGGGGGAACUGAAACAUCUAAGUACCCCGAGGAAAAGAAAUCAACCGAGAUUCCCCCAGUAGCGGCGAGCGAACGGGGAGCAGCCCAGAGUCUGAAUCAGCUUGUGUGUUAGUGGAACGGUCUGGAAAGUCCGACGGUACAGGGUGAUAGUCCCGUACACCAAAAUGCACAGGCUGUGAACUCGAAGAGUAGGGCGGGACACGUGGUAUCCUGUCUGAAUAUGGGGGGACCAUCCUCCAAGGCUAAAUACUCCUGACUGACCGAUAGUGAACCAGUACCGUGAGGGAAAGGCGAAAAGAACCCCGGCGAGGGGAGUGAAAAAGAACCUGAAACCGUGUACGUACAAGCAGUGGGAGCACCUUCGGGUGUGACUGCGUACCUUUUGUAUAAUGGGUCAGCGACUUAUAUUCUGUAGCAAGGUUAACCGUAUAGGGGAGCCGCAGGGAAACCGAGUCUUAACUGGGCGUUAAGUUGCAGGGUAUAGACCCGAAACCCGGUGAUCUAGCCAUGGGCAGGUUGAAGGUUGGGUAACACUAACUGGAGGACCGAACCGACUAAUGUUGAAAAAUUAGCGGAUGACUUGUGGCUGGGGGUGAAAGGCCAAUCAAACCGGGAGAUAGCUGGUUCUCCCCGAAAGCUAUUUAGGUAGCGCCUCGUGAACUCAUCUUCGGGGGUAGAGCACUGUUUCGGCUAGGGGGUCAUCCCGACUUACCAACCCGAUGCAAACUACGAAUACCGAAGAAUGUUAUCACGGGAGACACACGGCGGGUGCUAACGUCCGUCGUGAAGAGGGAAACAACCCAGACCGCCAGCUAAGGUCCCAAAGUCAUGGUUAAGUGGGAAACGAUGUGGGAAGGCACAGACAGCCAGGAUGUUGGCUUAGAAGCAGCCAUCAUUUAAAGAAAGCGUAAUAGCUCACUGGUCGAGUCGGCCUGCGCGGAAGAUGUAACGGGGCUAAACCAUGCACCGAAGCUGCGGCAGCGACACUAUGUGUUGUUGGGUAGGGGAGCGUUCUGUAAGCCUGCGAAGGUGUGCUGUGAGGCAUGCUGGAGGUAUCAGAAGUGCGAAUGCUGACAUAAGUAACGAUAAAGCGGGUGAAAAGCCCGCUCGCCGGAAGACCAAGGGUUCCUGUCCAACGUUAAUCGGGGCAGGGUGAGUCGACCCCUAAGGCGAGGCCGAAAGGCGUAGUCGAUGGGAAACAGGUUAAUAUUCCUGUACUUGGUGUUACUGCGAAGGGGGGACGGAGAAGGCUAUGUUAGCCGGGCGACGGUUGUCCCGGUUUAAGCAUGUAGGCUGAUUGUCCAGGCAAAUCCGGAUAAUCAAGGCUGAGGUGUGAUGACGAGGCACUACGGUGCUGAAGUAACAAAUGCCCUGCUUCCAGGAAAAGCCUCUAAGCAUCAGGUAACAUCAAAUCGUACCCCAAACCGACACAGGUGGUCAGGUAGAGAAUACCAAGGCGCUUGAGAGAACUCGGGUGAAGGAACUAGGCAAAAUGGUGCCGUAACUUCGGGAGAAGGCACGCUGGUGUGUAGGUGAAGUCCCUGCGGAUGGAGCUGAGACCAGUCGAAGAUACCAGCUGGCUGCAACUGUUUAUUAAAAACACAGCACUGUGCAAACACGAAAGUGGACGUAUACGGUGUGACGCCUGCCCGGUGCCGGAAGGUUAAUUGAUGGGGUUAUCCGUAAGGAGAAGCUCUUGAUCGAAGCCCCGGUAAACGGCGGCCGUAACUAUAACGGUCCUAAGGUAGCGAAAUUCCUUGUCGGGUAAGUUCCGACCUGCACGAAUGGCGUAAUGAUGGCCAGGCUGUCUCCACCCGAGACUCAGUGAAAUUGAACUCGCUGUGAAGAUGCAGUGUACCCGCGGCAAGACGGAAAGACCCCGUGAACCUUUACUAUAGCUUGACACUGAACAUUGAGCCUUGAUGUGUAGGAUAGGUGGGAGGCUUUGAAGCGUGGACGCCAGUCUGCGUGGAGCCAACCUUGAAAUACCACCCUUUAAUGUUUGAUGUUCUAACGUUGGCCCCUUACCGGGGUUGCGGACAGUGUCUGGUGGGUAGUUUGACUGGGGCGGUCUCCUCCCAAAGCGUAACGGAGGAGCACGAAGGUUAGCUAAUCCUGGUCGGACAUCAGGAGGUUAGUGCAAUGGCAUAAGCUAGCUUGACUGCGAGCGUGACGGCGCGAGCAGGUGCGAAAGCAGGUCAUAGUGAUCCGGUGGUUCUGAAUGGAAGGGCCAUCGCUCAACGGAUAAAAGGUACUCCGGGGAUAACAGGCUGAUACCGCCCAAGAGUUCAUAUCGACGGCGGUGUUUGGCACCUCGAUGUCGGCUCAUCACAUCCUGGGGCUGAAGUAGGUCCCAAGGGUAUGGCUGUUCGCCAUUUAAAGUGGUACGCGAGCUGGGUUUAGAACGUCGUGAGACAGUUCGGUCCCUAUCUGCCGUGGGCGCUGGAGAAUUGAGGGGGGCUGCUCCUAGUACGAGAGGACCGGAGUGGACGCAUCACUGGUGUUCGGGUUGUCAUGCCAAUGGCACUGCCCGGUAGCUAAAUGCGGAAGAGAUAAGUGCUGAAAGCAUCUAAGCACGAAACUUGCCCCGAGAUGAGUUCUCCCUGAGACUUUAAGUCUCCUGAAGGAACGUUAAAGACGAUGACGUUGAUAGGCCGGGUGUGUAAGCGCAGCGAUGCGUUGAGCUAACCGGUACUAAUGAACCGUGAGGCUUAACCUU
rnacentral:rRNA from 1 species